AUUGAACGCUGGCGGUAGGCCUAACACAUGCAAGUCGAACGCGAAAGUCCUUCGGGAUGAGUAGAGUGGCGGACGGGUGAGUAACGCGUAGGAAUCUAUCCUGUAGUGGGGGAUAACGUUUCGAAAGGAACGCUAAUACCGCAUACGCCCCAAGGGGGAAAGCGGGGGAUCUUCGGACCUCGUGCUAUAGGAGGAGCCUGCGUCGGAUUAGCUAGUUGGUGAGGUAAAGGCUCACCAAGGCGACGAUCCGUAGCUGGUCUGAGAGGAUGAUCAGCCACACCGGAACUGAGACACGGUCCGGACUCCUACGGGAGGCAGCAGUGGGGAAUAUUGCGCAAUGGGCGAAAGCCUGACGCAGCCAUACCGCGUGUGUGAAGAAGGCCUUCGGGUUGUAAAGCACUUUCAGUGGGGAGGAAAAGCUGGUGGCUAAUAUCCAUCGGCCGUGACGCUACCCACAGAAGAAGCACCGGCUAAUUCCGUGCCAGCCGCCGCGGUAAUAC
rnacentral:rRNA from 1 species